UACAGUCAUUUUCACGUAGAAACACCGGUUCUCGUACGCUCACCGAAGUUAAGCAAUGUAAUGUCAGGUCAGUAUCUCGAUGGGUGAAGGCUUACGAAUACCAAAUGCCG